UCUCGUGCUUCGACAGCCAGGGGGUGG
rnacentral:sRNA from 1 species